AGGCUUUCUCUUGUUCAUUGCCCCAUUUCAUUUCUUAUGGUUCGUGCACCACUUCGUGUUCACUGAAUAGGUACUUUUAGCGUGCCAAACAUAUUUUUUGUAUGCAUAUGUACAUCAUCGAGAGGUGGGAGUGUCCUUUGCAUUUUUAUUUAUGUAACCUGAUAAUUUCUUAGCUUCUUGAUUUGUCAUCAGAUAAUUUAUAUGUCCUGGACCAGCUCUCACUGAAAACUCCUAAUGAGUUCAGGGAUUCAGCUUGACAGGCAGCUACAUGAAGCACUCAACAGAAAGGAGGAACUAUCCAGUGAUUCUUAGACCGUGCAGUCUUCCGAUGAAGUCGCUCAUUCGAAGAGCAGGCAUGUCUGAUGGUAAUUGCUCAGGUACAACAAUGGAGCAGACGACUCCUGCUGUUGUUAUUGUUGAUAGAGACGAGAAAGUGGUUGUUAGCGGGUAUGCAUGGACCGUGCCGUGGUUCCACGAAGAUUACUACGGGCCGGUCGGCCAUGAAUCAAACCACCACGCAGAUCUUUACUUACCUUAGAGUAGUAGUAGUUAUUUUCUCUCAAUGCUACAGCCUGGUUUGGAGCUGGGAUAAUGUAAAGGGGAAAAGAAGCAUCAUGUAGUUCUGCUAUUGUGUGUUGAGUUUUUAUGUCACAUAGUUAGUUCAACACGGUGUCCAUCAUAUAAAAGACAGUGAGUAUGACUCUCUGCCAAGACGAGUUCUGAUUGUGUGCUUUUUUCCCCAGUUGUGCACCUUCUUAUUUUGUGUGUGUGUCAACUUUAUGAAUUGUCAAGAGAAACAAAAGUACACUC